rnacentral:rRNA from 1 species
UGGGGAAUAUUGCACAAUGGGCGCAAGCCUGAUGCAGCCAUGCCGCGUGUAUGAAGAAGGCCUUCGGGUUGUAAAGUACUUUCAGCGGGGAGGAAGGCGAUAAGGUUAAUAACCUUGUCGAUUGACGUUACCCGCAGAAGAAGCACCGGCUAACUCCGUGCCAGCAGCCGCGGUAAUACGGAGGGUGCAAGCGUUAAUCGGAAUUACUGGGCGUAAAGCGCACGCAGGCGGUCUGUCAAGUCGGAUGUGAAAUCCCCGGGCUCAACCUGGGAACUGCAUUCGAAACUGGCAGGAUAGAGUCUUGUAGAGGGGGGUAGAAUUCCAGGUGUAGCGGUGAAAUGCGUAGAGAUCUGGAGGAAUACCGGUGGCGAAGGCGGACCCCUGGACAAAGACUGACGCUCAGGUGCGAAAGCGUGGGGAGCAAACA